CCUACGGGAGGCAGCAGUAGGGAAUUUUCGUCAAUGGGCGCAAGCCUGAACGAGCGAUGCCGCGUGAGUGAAGAAGGCCUUCGGGUCGUAAAGCUCUGUUGCGGGGGAAAAAAGGCAGCAUCAGGAAAUGGGUGCUGACUGAUGGUGCCCCGCCAGACAGUCACGGCUAACUACGUGCCAGCAGCCGCGGUAAUACGGAGGGUGCGAGCGUUAAUCGGAAUUACUGGGCGUAAAGCGCUCGUAGGCGGUAUGUCAAGUCAAGGGUGAAAUGCCCGCGCUCAACGUGGGAACUGCCUUUGAAACUGGCAAACUGGAGUGUGUGGGAGGAUAGUGGAAUUCCAGGUGUAGGAGUGAAAUCCGUAGAUAUCUGGAAGAACAUCGGUGGCGAAGGCGACUAUCUGGCACAUAACUGACGCUGAGGAGCGAAAGCGUGGGUAGCAAACAGGAUUAGAUACCCGAGUAGUC
rnacentral:rRNA from 1 species